CCUACGGGAGGCUGCAGUGGGGGAUAUUGCACAAUGGGGGGAACCCUGAUGCAGCGACGACGCGUGAGCGAUGGAGUACUUCGGUAUGUAAAGCUCUGUCAGCAGGGAAGAAAAUGACGGUACCUGACCAAGAAGCCCCGGCUAAAUACGAUCCAGCAGCCGCGGUAAUACGUCGGGGGCAAGCGUUAUCCGGAUUUACUGGGUGUAAAGGGAGCGUAGGCGGCAGGGCAAGCCAGAUGUGAAAGCACGCGGCUCAACCCCGGGACUGCAUUGGGAACUGGCCGGCUUGAGUGCCGGAGGGGCAGGCGGAAUUCCUAGUGUAGCGGUGAAAUGCGUAGAUAUUAGGAAGAACACCAGUUGCGAAGGCAGCUUACUGGACGGUGACUGACGCUGAGGCUCGAAAGCGUGGGGAGCAAACAGGAUUAGAUACCCCAGUAGUC
rnacentral:rRNA from 1 species